GACUCGCUGCGAUGAAGUGAGACAGAGGCAACGUUAAAGUCACGUUGAAUUUAAGAACCUUAAUCUCAAUAACAAGUAUAUUUAACUGAACAUCUAAAAGUAUUUCUUCAUGCAGCUGGAUCGUAACGUGACAGCGUGUGUCUCCAUGUCCCACAACAAGGCCCAGGACACAUAUUGACACAGUGGAACAGCGGGCUGAGAUUAACCACACCGGUUAUGACCCUUUGAUUGGUGUUUGCUUCACUUAUUCUUAUUUACCUGGCAUCAACCCUGCACGUAUAAGUUACUGUGCAAAGAGAAUCAGCAGCAGAGGAAACCAAAAGCAGCAGCACUCUAACAACAGUAAGAUUCAUUUCUAUAGUGCAUAAGACAGAUCCAGCCCCACAGACACCUGGACUGACCGUGGAGCUCGUAGACCUGAGGCAGGUUGGGGAAGAUGCAGGCCAGCUCAUCAGAGUUCAGGACAGACCUCAUCUUCUGGAAGAAGACCUGGUCCAGGACCCUCAGGGUCCGCAGGUGGGACGCCUCUGUGGUGAACAGCUCUGGAGGCGAGGACACAGAGGGUGAGCAGGAGAGAAAACACUGAUUGAAGUCAUACCAUAUAUCACCGCCUGUCUGUCCACUUCCUUUGGGCUGAGCGUGGCGAGGAGCUGAGGAGACACCGUGUCCUGCCAGUUCUGACCGUCACACACCUCCUCCUCCAACGCCACGGCGUCCGGCAGCAGGGCCAGCGGUUUGUUUGAGACUGGAGCUUGAAGAGUUGUGCAUGUGGGAAAGAGGUGGACCGUCCUUCUCUCUGUUCCCUAUCACUUCAUCCCUGAUCAUCAGUUAACUGUGGACAUGGAGACUCACCUGCGUCGAGAGCGAGGCGUGUAUGGGGGUGUAGGGUUCUCUAGAGACCUGAGUUUGAGAGAGAGUGGAGAGAGCGGUGAUUGUUUGGGGGGUGAUUCGGUUUCUGAGCUGGACGCAUGUUGGAGCAUCAUCACGGAUCACCACAGAUGCUGCACAUGCCUCUUCUCUUUGAACACCAUCUUGUGAUCAUCAGUGAA